GCAAGGAAUCCGGAACGUCAAGUGGACACGCCGGAGGUGAUACCCGCGGAAAAGGUGCGCUUUGAAGGUAUGGAUGAAUCUCUCCCGGAUGAUGAUCAAGCAUUUUGUCAAGAACCGAACACGCAAUUUGAAGCUUCCGCACUGAAUAUGAUCUUGUCUAAACUUUAAACACGUCAUAUAAAUUUUGUUAAUGGUGUUUUGAAUCCUUUAAACUAGUUAUUAGUUGACUAGUAAGGGUUGUCUUUAAAUGAAUUAUGCACUAUCUAGAACAUGUUUGGAAAAAUUUGUUAGUAUGUAUGGUUUAAAACACCAAUGUUUUUGUAAACUCUGAUUUUUAUAAAGUUUCAUGAAAUAUUUAGCUUAA